rnacentral:misc_RNA from 1 species
AAGUCGUAACAAGGUUUCCGUAGGUGAACCUGCGGAAGGAUCAUUAACACGUUAUACACGUAUCUACAUCUCCGCGAACUUAUUUUUCACAAGUUGGUUGGCCAGCGUAGCAAUGGGGGUAGAUUUUUACUAUGUCGACCUAAAAAAACUCCUGGAUGUCCGGAGUUUCUUUGGUUGUUCUACCUGCCUAUCCGAAAUGCCUUUGUGUGUUUUGGGUAUUCUGGCUCAUAUGACUUGAAUCAUAGUAGUAUCUCUAUUAAACCUUUUAUUAAUAUGUAAGAAUUUGUGAUGGCUGUGUUAAUUCGCAGCUCACGUUAAACAAACACUAUACAACUCUUAGCAACGGAUAUCUCGGUUCU